GGUUUUGUUUUGUGUCUUUUAUGAAAAAGGUUGACUUUUAAUCCGUUGGUCCCGGGUUCGAGUCCCGGCCAGCCCACCA
rnacentral:tRNA from 1 species